rnacentral:rRNA from 1 species
GACGAACGCUGGCGGCGUGCCUAACACAUGCAAGUCGAGCGGAGGCGCCUGAAGAGCAAUCGGAGGGUGUCUGAGCGGCGGACGGGUGAGUAACGCGUGAGCGAUCUGCCUUUCACAGGGGGAUAACGCAGCGAAAGCUGCACUAAUACCGCAUGAGACCACGGUACUGAUGGUACAGGGGUCAAAGGAGAGAUCCGGUGAGAGAUGAGCUCGCGUCCGAUUAGGUAGUUGGUGAGGUAACGGCCCACCAAGCCAAUGAUCGGUAGCCGGCCUGAGAGGGUGAACGGCCACAUUGGAACUGAGAGACGGUCCAAACUCCUACGGGAGGCAGCAGUGGGGAAUAUUGGGCAAUGGGGGAAACCCUGACCCAGCAACGCCGCGUGAGGGAAGAAGGUUUUCGGAUUGUAAACCUCUGUUCUUGGAGAAGAGGAGAAGACGGUAUCCAAGGAGGAAGCCCCGGCUAACUACGUGCCAGCAGCCGCCGUAA